UACGUAGGGGGCGAGCGUUGUCCGGAUUUAUUGGGCGUAAAGAGCUCGUAGGCCGUUCGGUAAGUCAGAUGUGAAAACUCCAGGCUCAACUUGGAGAGGCCAUCUGAUACUGCUGUGACUAGAGUCCGGUAGGGGAGCACGGAAUUCCUGGUGUAGCGGUGAAAUGCGCAGAUAUCAGGAGGAACACCAGCGGCGAAGGCGGUGCUCUGGGCCGGAACUGACGCUGAGGAGCGAAAGCGUGGGGAGCGAACAGG
rnacentral:rRNA from 1 species